AUUGAACGCUGGCGGAAUGCUUUACACAUGCAAGUCGAAUGGCAGCACGGACUUCGGUCUGGUGGCGAGUGGGGGACGGGUGAGUAAUGUAACGGAACGUGCACAGUCGCGGGGGGUAACGUAGUGAUAAUUACGCUAAUACCGCAUACGAUAUAUGGAUGAACGCGGGGGAUCGUAAGACCUCACGCGAUUGGAGCGUCCGAUAACAGAUUAGGUAGUUGGUUGGGUAAAGGCCCACCAAGCCAACGAUCUGUAGCUGGGCUGAGAGGACGACCAGCCACACUUGAACUGAGACACGGUCCAGACUCCUACGGGAGGCAGCAGUGGGGAAUUUUGGACACUGGGCGAAAGCCUGAUCCAGCCAUUCCGCGUACAGGAUGAAGGCCCUCGGGUUGUAGACUGCUUUUGUACAGAACGAAAAGGUUUCUACUAAUACUAGGAGCUCAUGACGGUACUGUAAGAAUAAGCACCGGCUAACUACGUGCCAGCAGCCGCAGUAA
rnacentral:rRNA from 1 species